rnacentral:rRNA from 1 species
UGGGGAAUCUUGGACAAUGGGCGCAAGCCUGAUCCAGCCAUGCCGCGUGGAUGAUGAAGGCCUUAGGGUCGUAAAAUCCUUUCGUUGGGGACGAUAAUGACGGUACCCAAAGAAGAAGCUCCGGCUAACUUCGUGCCAGCAGCCGCGGUAAUACGAAGGGGGCUAGCGUUGUUCGGAUUUACUGGGCGUAAAGCGUACGUAGGCGGUGACUCAAGUCAGAGGUGAAAGCCUGGAGCUCAACUCCAGAACUGCCUUUGAAACUAGGUCGCUAGAAUCACGGAGAGGUGAGUGGAAUUCCGAGUGUAGAGGUGAAAUUCGUAGAUAUUCGGAAGAACACCAGUGGCGAAGGCGGCUCACUGGACGUGUAUUGACGCUGAGGUACGAAAGCGUGGGGAGCAAACAGGAUUAGAUACCCAAGUAGUCCCUGAGCGGGCUGGCAAGGCGCAU